GGCCAUACAAUAGGGGACCGGAAGUUGUGAACAGGGUUCUUGAAGCUCAGGUUGAGAACGCGUUGUUCAAAGUGGAGCUCCAUAAAUGGCGAUCAAAAGCCGUCGCAGAACAAUUUCACGAUUUCAAGAAAGGAAUACGAAGCGGAUGAGGAA